GAACGCUGGCGGCGUGCUUAACACAUGCAAGUCGAACGAUGAACCACUUCGGUGGGGAUUAGUGGCGAACGGGUGAGUAACACGUGGGCAACUGCCCUGCACUCUGGGACAAGCCCUGGAAACGGGGUCUAAUACCGGAUACGACCUGUCGAGGCAUCUCGGCGGGUGGAAAGCUCCGGCGGUGCAGGAUGAGCCCGCGGCCUAUCAGCUUGUUGGUGAGGUAGUGGCUCACCAAGGCGACGACGGGUAGCCGGCCUGAGAGGGCGACCGGCCACACUGGGACUGAGACACGGCCCAGACUCCUACGGGAGGCAGCAGUGGGGAAUAUUGCACAAUGGGCGGAAGCCUGAUGCAGCGACGCCGCGUGAGGGAUGACGGCCUUCGGGUUGUAAACCUCUUUCAGCAGGGAAGAAGCGAGAGUGACGGUACCUGCAGAAGAAGCGCCGGCUAACUACGUGCCAGCAGCCGCGGUAAUACGUAGGGCGCAAGCGUUGUCCGGAAUUAUUGGGCGUAAAGAGCUCGUAGGCGGC
rnacentral:rRNA from 2 species